GAGGAAAAGAAACUAACAAGGAUUCCCCUAGUAACGGCGAGUGAAGCGGGAAGAGCUCAAAUUUGUAAUCUGGCACUUUCAGUGUCCGAGUUGUAAUCUCGAGAAGUAUUUUCCGCGCCGGACUGCAUACAAGUCUGUUGGAAUACAGCGUCAUAGUGGUGAGAACCCCGUAACUGAUGCAGAUGCCCGGUGCUUUGUGAUAUACUUUCGAAGAGUCGAGUUGUUUGGGAAUGCAGCUCAAAUUGGGUGGUAAAUUCCAUCUAAAGCUAAAUAUUGGCGAGAGACCGAUAGCGAACAAGUACCGUGAGGGAAAGAUGAAAAGCACUUUGGAAAGAGAGUUAACAGUACGUGAAAUUGUUGGAAGGGAAACGCUUGAAGUCAGACUUGCUAUUUGGAAUUCAGCCGCAAGGUGUACUUUUCAAUUCGCAGGCCAGCAUCAGUUUUUGGGGGUGGAAAAGGGUAGAGAGAAGGUAGCAGUUUCGGCUGUGUUAUAGCUCUUUGCUGGAUUCAUCCUUGGGGACUGAGGAACGCAGCACGCUUUUUGCAAGGCUUUCGAGCUUUUCGUGCUUAGGAUGCUGGUGGAAUGGCUUUAAACGACCCGUCUU
rnacentral:rRNA from 1 species